AUACGGAGGAUGCGAGCGUUAUCCGGAUUUAUUGGGUUUAAAGGGUGCGUAGGCGGUCGGGUAAGCGUAGGGUGAAAGUCCUCUGCUCAACAGAGGAAGUGCCUUCCGAACUGUCCGACUGGAAUGCUCCUGCCGUGGGAGGAAUGUGUGGUGUAGCGGUGAAAUGCAUAGAGAUCACACAGAACACCGAUUGCGAAGGCAUCUCACGAAGGGGCUAUUGACGCUGAGGCACGAAAGCGUGGGGAUCAAACAGGAUUAGAUACCCUGGUAGUCCACGCUGUAAACGAUGAUUACUGGUUGUUAGCGAUAUAUAGCUAGUGACUGAGCGAAAGCAUUAAGUAAUCCACCUGGGGAGUACGUCGGCAACGAUGAAACUCAAAUGAAUUGGCGGGG
rnacentral:rRNA from 1 species